UUUCCCAUUUGACUGCUACUUAUUUGCACUACAAAAUAAGCAGCUAUGCUUGUGGGAUAGAGAAAUAUUUGCCAUAGUCUGAAGGAGAAGACUGAUCAUAUCUUCUUCCUAUGUGCAGUGGCAAAACAUAUAAUU